rnacentral:rRNA from 1 species
AACGCGAAGAACCUUACCACUUCUUGACAUGGAAAUCAUACCUAUUCGAAGGGAUAGGGUCGGUUCGGCCGGAUUUUACACAGGUGUUGCAUGGCUGUCGUCAGCUCGUGUCGUGAGAUGUUGGGUUAAGUCCCGCAACGAGCGCAACCCUCAUCCUUAGUUGCCAUCAGGUAAUGCUGAGCACUUUAAGGAAACUGCCAGUGAUAAGCUGGAGGAAGAUGGGGAUGAUGUCAAGUCAUCAUGGCCUUUAUGAAGUGGGCUACACACGUGCUACAAUGGUGUCUACAGUGGGCUGCAAGGUGCGCAAGCCUAAGCUAAUCCCUAAAAGACAUCUCAGUUCGGAUUGUACUCUGCAACUCGAGUGCAUGAAGUUGGAAUCGCUAGUAAUCGUGGAUCAGCAUGCCACGGUGAAUACGUUCCCGGGCCUUGUACACACCG